rnacentral:rRNA from 1 species
CCUACGGGUGGCAGCAGUGAGGAAUAUUGGUCAAUGGACGGAAGUCUGAACCAGCCAUGCCGCGUGCAGGAAGACGGCUCUAUGAGUUGUAAACUGCUUUUGUACAAGGGUAAACCUGAAUACGUGUAUUCAGCUGAAAGUACUGUACGAAUAAGGAUCGGGUAACUCCGUGCCAGCAGCCGCGGUAAUACGGAGGAUCCAAGCGUUAUCCGGAUUUAUUGGGUUUAAAGGGUGAGUAGGCGGCCUGUUAAGGCAGGGGUAAAAGCCCGGGGCUCAACCCCGGCGAGCCGUUGAAACUGGCGGGCUGGAGUUGGAGGGAAGUACGCGGAAUGCGCGGUGUAGCGGUGAAAUGCUAGAUAUCGCGCAGAACCCCGAUUGCGAAGGCAGCGUACCGGCUCCACACUGACAUUGAUGCUCGAAAGUGUGGGUAUCAAACAGGAUUAGAUACCCGAGUAGUC